UGUAAAAAAAAUUCAGGCCUUUUAACAGGCUUCAGGUCAAGCCAGGCUGCAUAACAGGCCAAAUUUAAUACUUUAGAAAAAGUCUAUAACAGGUUAGGUUGUGUUAAGAGCAAAGCUUGGCCUGGCCUGUUUCCACCCCUAGUUCCAACUCUCCAAUAACAUGAACGAACAAACAUUUCAUAGGUCGUGCUCUUUAAUAUGAAUACAUUCGAGAAAAACGGUUUCUAAAAUAAUCAUAAUUGCAACACACAAACUUUAAACCAUUCUCAAAAUCUUUUAGAAAUUUCUCAAAAUUUUUGCAAAAACUCAGAAAUGCUCUCUGUGCUAGGCUUCAAAUCUUCAACAAUAAACAAUGAAAGAAAAAAGGAAGCAUUAUUGAAGCCAAAAUGACAAUGCAAAAAGUUGUUGAGACAAACAUCUCAAAAAAGAAGGCACCAUAAUAUGAUAAAACUCAUGAUUUACGAUGCUCUACAAGAAUAAUAUCUGAGACAGUAAAAUGAGUGAAGAGAAGAAAGGUCUUGUAGAUGAAAUGGGGUUUGGUGCUCUGACACAAAGCUUUUGAAGGAACUAGCUCAUGUCUUCGAUUUAUAUAGAAGCUGACUAGCACA